rnacentral:rRNA from 1 species
GAUGAACGCUGGCGGCGUGCCUAAUACAUGCAAGUCGAGCGAACAGACGAGGAGCUUGCUCCUUUGACGUUAGCGGCGGACGGGUGAGUAACACGUGGGUAACCUACCUAUAAGACUGGGAUAAUUUCGGGAAACCGGAGCUAAUACCGGAUAAUAUUUCGAACCGCAUGGCUCGAUAGUGAAAGAUGGCUCUGCUAUCACUUAUAGAUGGACCUGCGCCGUAUUAGCUAGUUGGUAAGGUAACGGCUUACCAAGGCAACGAUACGUAGCCGACCUGAGAGGGUGAUCGGCCACACUGGAACUGAGACACGGUCCAGACUCCUACGGGAGGCAGCAGUAGGGAAUCUUCCGCAAUGGGCGAAAGCCUGACUGAGCAACGCCGCGUGAGUGAUGAAGGUCUUCGGAUCGUAAAACUCUGUUAUUAGGGAAGAACAAACGUGUAAGUAACUGUGCACGUCUUGACGGUACCUAAUCAGAAAGCCACGGCUAACUACGUGCCAGCCGCCGCAGUAA